UACGUAGGGGGCAAGCGUUGUCCGGAAUCAUUGGGCGUAAAGCGCGUGUAGGCGGUUCAGUAAGUCUGCUGUGAAAGUCCAGGGCUCAACCCUGGGAUGCCGGUGGAUACUGCUGGGCUAGAGUACGGAAGAGGCGAGUGGAAUUCCCGGUGUAGCGGUGAAAUGCGCAGAUAUCAGGAGGAACACCGGUGGCGAAGGCGGCUCUCUGGGCCUUACCUGACGCUGAGGAGCGAAAGCGUGGGGAGCGAACAGG
rnacentral:rRNA from 1 species